AACAGGAUUAGAUACCCUGGUAGUCCAUGCCGUAAACGAUGAGUGCUAGGUGUUGGAGGGUUUCCGCCCUUCAGUGCCGGAGCUAACGCAUUAAGCACUCCGCCUGGGGAGUACGACCGCAAGGUUGAAACUCAAAGGAAUUGACGGGGGCCCGCACAAGCGGUGGAGCAUGUGGUUUAAUUCGAAGCUACGCGAAGAACCUUACCAGGUCUUGACAUCUUGCGCUAACCUUAGAGAUAAGGCGUUCCCUUCGGGGACGUAAUGACAGGUGGUGCAUGGUCGUCGUCAGCUCGUGUCGUGAGAUGUUGGGUUAAGUCCCGCAACGAGCGCAACCCUUGUUACUAGUUGCCAGCAUUAAGUUGGGCACUCUAGUGAGACUGCCGGUGACAAACCGGAGGAAGGUGGGGACGACGUCAGAUCAUCAUGCCCCUUAUGACCUGGGCUACACACGUGCUACAAUGGACGGUACAACGAGUCGCAAGCUCGCGAGAGUAAGCUAAUCUCUUAAAGCCGUUCUCAGUUCGGACUGUAGGCUGCAACUCGCCUACACGAAGUCGGAAUCGCUAGUAAUCGCGGAUCAGCAUGCCGCGGUGAAUACGUUCCCGGGCCUUGUACACACCGCCCGUCACACCAUGGGAGUUUGUAACGCCCAAAGUCGGUGGCCUAACCUCUAUGGAGGGAGCCGCCUAAGGCGGGACAGAUGACUGGGGUGAAGUCGUAACAAGGUAACC
rnacentral:rRNA from 1 species